UCGAUAACUCCGAUUGAGUUUGAAUGAAUUGAAUAUCUAGAACUAUUUUCUAUUUCCCGAUAAUUUUUGGGUCGGUCCGGCCGACCCUGACGAGCCGUCACUGUUUCACUUCACUUUCGUUUGCUGCUUGAAUCCCGACCAAAUAUGCGGCUCGAAGGAUCAAAUUUGUUGGGUAUUUUCUCAACUUUAUGUUACGAUAAAAACGCUAUUUGUUAACGAAUAAUAUAUUCACUUCUGUGGUUACAUUUACAUGUAUAUGCUUAUGCUAGUUGACUGUAUAAUAGACUGAAUGACUUGCGUUCCCGCAUAGACUCGCAGGGUGUCAAGUGCUUUCAAGUGGGGUUGGUUGCACAUGGCCCCACAGUUUCUAGAAAAGUCUAUGAAACCCAUAGGCGGAGCAUGAUAAGGGUUCAAACUGAUUAUAUUAAUUCUAAACACUGUUUGUGCAUCACCUUUCAUCGUAAUCAUCUGCAAGGAAGAUGGAAGUAAAUAAACUGAAGUUCCCCAAUAGGUGAUAUUGAAUUUUCUUGAAAUAUAAAAUUUUUUUAUGGUGUAAAAUCAUUGCCUUUGGGCAAUCAGGAAUCAUAAUGAUACUUUUCUUUUAGUUAAUGAGUAUUAUAAUAAUAAUAUUCGCAUGAUUUGACAAGCGUAAACAUCUCACUCACCCUUUUUUUUAAAUGAUACUCCCUGUAAUUGUUUUGGCAACUAUUCAUAUUACACCCUAUAUAUUUACUUAUUUUUAUUGAAAUACACAUUUGAUAUAUGUAGGGGAGACUGGGGAGGGUUGAUACACGUUCAAAUUUUCCGCCUCGGUUCUUCAAAGAAGGCGUAAUCACGUGCAGUGCCUCUAUGAGUGUGGAAAAUGUGUCAGUUGAAAUCUAGCAACGAUCGCCUCACGAGUGUUUUUUUUUUAGCUCAAAGUGUGUUUUCUACAUAUUUGAUGUAGGAAUUUGCAUAACAAACGUAAGGCUUUAUCUCUUUAUCAACAAAAACUAACGAAAUUCAUUACUUUAUUCUUGAUGCACAUUGCAUUUAGAACAUAGGUGCUCCUAGUACAGAUCUUCAAUCGAAUAUCAUAAUAUGUUCACGUCCUAUAUUUUCUAAAUUUUUGUCAUAGGGAGUAAAUCUCUCCUCAAAAGAGAAGUUUUAAACAGAAAUGAAUAAACAAAAAAAGGGGGUUUGAUGACUUGGAUCCUGAGGACGCAGAAAAUGAAAAAGAUCCAUGUUCUAAUGAAAGCCGAAAAUAAUUAGUUGCAGUAGAUACAAGCUGGAUCGUCAUCUUCAUCAGAAAAUGGUGUGCCAUUCAGCCUGUGCAAGUAUCAGUAGUAAAAUAGAAAUGUUUACUUUCGAAUAUAGGAAUUAGGUAGUGUUAUGAUAAAAAAAGAUUGAUUUAUUAUUAUUGCUUCUUCCUUAUUUCUUAUUGUAUCAAGCCUACCAUCUACAGAGAGUUUUGAGACACUUUGCACCGACAAUUUCAAGAACUCAUAAUCAAGGUUGAAAUUUCUAUUUUCAGUUAUUAAAUGUUGCUGAACGUUCAAGCGAAGUUCUUGAAUUUCACUGUGACAUAAAUGGAUUGGUAAAUGUUAAACAUACAUUUUUUAUUAACAAUUUUAUAAAAAAUGUAUCAACCCUCCCCAGUCUCCCCUACAUAUAAAGAGAUAACUCCUGAAGAUCUAAAAAACCGAUCGUUAUAAAAUUGUAUCAAAAAUAAGCCGCAUUUCACUCAGAAAGAGAUGGUACCGUUUGUCGAAGAAAUACCGACAAGCUUGAUGAAGUGCAAAAAACUCGUGAAAAUAGGGGUAAUAACACAUGCGGCCACUUUGAACAUACCAACAGACAUGGUAUGGCGUUUGAAGCGUAAACACGUAUUGUAACUGCUCCGCUUAGUUUCGAAUAUUAUUGAAGUAUUUCCAAAGGGGACUUCCAUUUGAGUUUCUCAAGUUUCUGACUAAAAUGGGUGGUACAAGACGAAACCCUAAGACCGAAGACACACUGAAUAUCAGUGGUAGAAUGGCCGAAAUGGAAACCAAAUUCCAAAAAGGACUAGACAAACUGCGUAAGGACUACAUUGAGUAGACCUCCUCCACGCCGAAACAAGAAAAUCCAGCAGAUUUUGAAGAAAAGCUGAAACAAUUCGAAAACAAAAUCAAGGAAGAAAUAAAAAAUUUGAAGAAUGAAAUACAAUUGAUUCAUUCCAGAGUGCAGAAGGCUGAACAAAACUUCGAAAAAAUUGUUAACGAAAACAACCGUAGGAAAAUAAUAUUGAGGGGCAUUCCUGAGAAGGAAAAUACGAAGGAAAUGACAGGGGAAUUGUUAAAUAUAUUCAACAAUUACAUGAAUCUGAACAUUCAAAGAACUGAAGUAGUCACCUGUCAUCGUCUCCAAAAAAAACGAUAACAAACAGAAGGAAAACAAACCGUCACCAGUUGUUGUAGAAUUUGUCACCCAGUGGCGGCGAGAUGAAGUCUUCUACAAUAAAAGACGACUAAAGGAUCCAAUUUCUCGAUCACCGAAGUGCUGAAGAGGAAAGAAAUCCAACUCUUCCAGAAGGCGCGAGAGAUUUUUGGGAGGAACUCCUGGACAAAUAGGGGUAAAGUCUUUAUAUACCAUUAUAACAAAAAAAUACAUGUUCUUGAGGAAAGUCAGUUGCAUUUAUUUAAUUGACAGCGGAGUGGAAGCCUGAACUGUUUAUUUGUUUCUCAAAUUUUUUUUUAAACUGAGUUUUUUGUAUUUUUUGUUGUAAAACUGCGUCUGUGUUCGCUUUUUUUUCUAUUUCUGGUUAUUUUUUUUUUCUUUUUUUCACACACGGUGAACAAUUGAAGCAACUAAACUUCACCGCAAACGAAUCAUUUGAAUCAACAGAAUCAUAAAAUAGUACCUACAAUAAUUCUUCCUAUUACAUAUUAAUGAAAAAUCACAACUCCAAACUUGAACAUAUUAAUAUAGGGUCUUUACUUCCAAGUCUUGAGGAUUUUAAACAGUUCAUUACCACAAAUGAUUUUGACUUUGUAGGAGUAUCGGAAACUUGGCUCAGUGACAGUGACAAACUACGAGGACAUCAAAAUUAACGGUUAUGAGAGUAUAUAUCAAAGCAAACAUGGUAGAGGUGGAGGCGUGGGAUUGGUUGUUAAAAAUUGCUAUAAUUUUACGAGAAUAGAAAAUGAAUAUACUAAAAACUCCAACUUUGAGCAAGUUUGGAUACAUAUUAGCGUCGAUAAGGCAGAUUUCAUUCUGGGUUGUAUAUAUAAACCUCCACACUACAACCAGUCUGCCUUUUUUAAGAGACUUCGAUGAUAUUUUGGCCUCGUUCGCACCUUUCUAUGACAUAUGACAGAAUUUGUCACCGAAGGAUGUUAUCACUUUUCCGACUAGAAUAACUUCAAAAACUGAAACUUUAAUUGAUUUCAUCAUCCUAUCUGACAAUAUAGAAAUUGUCAAAUGUGACACUAUACCGUCAAUGUUUUCAGAUCACGAAUUUAUCUUCUGUGAGUUUCAGUCGCCCGCUGUGAGAAAGGAAGUAGUAUACAGGGAAUGUAGAAGUUAUAAUGAUAUCAACAUACAUCAGUUCGACCAAGAUUUGCACUCCAUUCCAUGGCGCAACAUUUACGAUAUUGAUAAUGCCGAUGGGUAUGGCUGUUCAUGGAAAUGCCGGGUUAGGUUCACCAAGGCAUUCUCUCAUUCACUGGUUAAGAACCCGCGUAUUAUACGUGUUGUCCACAAGAUGACCUCUCGUUGUGCAUCGCUGAUUAACCUUUCUUCCAGUCCAAGGCGGUUAGUAUUUUCAACCAAGUGCUUCUCAACAAGACCGUUCGUAGUGAUUAUAAGUGGUAUAAUUGAAGUGCUGUAUAAGCUCUCUCAGCAUUGUCGUCCGCCGGGAUAGUGACAUCGAUUAUGGUGGCUCUGUUCCCCGCCUUUUCGAAGAUAACUAUGUCAGGUCUAUUGUGUGGAACAGAUCUAUCAGUGAUGAGUGGAGAGUCCCAAUAUAGCUUCAGUUUAUCAUUCUCAAGUAGUUCCUGGGCCAUGGCAUUGUGACGGUCUGUAUAUUCCCUGGGUGCAAGCACUGGACAGGAGGACGUAACGUGUUGUACUGUUUCAGUUGCACAUAGGCUCUGGUGGGGACCACCUGAUCCUGAAUGGCCGCCAAUCUGCCCUCCGUUUCCGGGAAGAGGUAU